rnacentral:tRNA from 6 species
GUCUCCAUGGUGUAGUGGUUAUCACGUGGGUCUCAUAAUCCCAAGGCCGGGAGUUCGAUCCUCCCUGGGGACA